GCGCCCGUAGCUCAGUAGGAUAGAGCACCGGUUUCCUAAACCGGGGGUCACAAGUUCGAAUCUUGUCGGGCGUA
rnacentral:tRNA from 1 species